CAGUUGCUCUCUUUGCCUGGAGUGAAGCAGCCCCCAAGCAGCAGGCCAAAGGAAAGUCAAGUCACACCACCUGGAAACCAGUUUUGCAAUCACAAAGCUGAGCCAAGGAGACCUGGGACCUGGUAUGGCUUGCUCCAGGCAGACCCUACCUAGUGUAUUUCCAG